AGAAAGGAGAGAGAGUUUGUGACAGGACGAGAAAGGAGAGAGAUGUUGUGACAGGACGAGAAAGGAGAGAGAUGUUGUGACAGGACGAGAAAGGAGAGAGAUGUUGUGACAGGACGAGAAAGGAGAGAGAUGUUGUGACAGGACGAGAAAGGAGAGAGAUGUUGUGACAGGACGAGAAAGGAGAGAGAUGUUGUGACAGGACGAGAAAGGAGAGAGAUGUUGUGACAGGACGAGAAAGGAGAGAGAUGUUGUGACAGGACGAGAAAGGAGAGAGAUGUUGUGACAGGACGAGAAAGGAGAGAGAUGUUGUGACAGGACGAGAAAGGAGAGAGAUGUUGUGACAGGACGAGAAAGGAGAGAGAUGUUGUGACAGGACGAGAAAGGAGAGAGAUGUUGUGACAGGACGAGAAAGGAGAGAGAUGUUGUGACAGGACGAGAAAGGAGAGAGGUGUUGUGACGGGGUGAAAAAUACAAAGAAGCUGGAAUGUUUUAAUGUGUAUAAUAGUUUGUCUUGGACCUUGUCUCUUCCCCCCCGUUCCUGUCCUUAAGGAUCAACGUGUGACCAACUAGUGGUGGAAGAGACAGUGGCAGCCAUUUUUCAAAAUGGACUCAGGGGGGAAAAAUAGGAAAUGGAUGAAUGAAGGAAUUCAAUUCAAUUCAAUUCAAUUCAAUACAACUUCAUUUGUAGAGCAACUUAGUAAUUUAAUGGGAUGGGUUGAUGGACAGAUGGACGGAGGUGUGAAAAGGGGCGUGUCUCUGGUUGGAACACCCGAAGGGACCGGUUGCUACAGUUACACACAGUUGCUGCUGUUCUCUUCUGGAAGCCAUUUUGUAUUUUUUAUUUUUUUCCCCCAAGAGGUGGCUCGUUACCACGGCAACAACUUCUACUCGGUCACCGGAUACAUUCACUGCACUGUUCUUGCAACUGGUAAUUUUUUCACGAGGUGGCUCGUUACCACGGCAACGAGCUGCGGUUAAGCGUUUUUUUUUUUAACGACGGGAAUGGAUGGUUGGGUCAGAUUGUAUCUAAUCGGGCAGAAACACCCGGAGGGCUGAAAUCAAACGAGGAAGUGGGUAAAUCUGUAAACUGCAUUAACCUGAAUGUAUUUCCACUGGCGCUGUCGUUUCUCAGUGGGAAACGGUUCACAAAUAGCCAGAGUGGAAACGGUUCACAAAUAGUGAAUAGUGGUCUUUUUAAAACGGAGAUAACUGAAGGAAGACCCCAGGGAAUCAGGGUGAAUGAAGAUUUCAGAGGAACAGCCCUUUCAAAUAUAGUAUUAAGAGUUGUGUAUUUAACUCUUAGGAACACACUGAUGGCUUGUGUAUGUAGAAUAUGUAGAAUAUCUAUGUAUCUAUAUAGUACUACAACUAUGUAUGUAUGUAUGUAUGUAUGUAUGUAUGUAUGUAUGUAUGUAUGUAUGUAUGUAUGUAUGUAUGUAUGUAUGUAUGUAUGUAUGUAUGUAUGUAUGUAUGUAUGUACAGUGCCUUGCGAAAGUAUUCGGCCCCCUUGAACUUUGCAACCUUUUGCCACAUUUCAGGCUUCAAACAUAAAGAUAUAAAACUGUAUUUUUUUGUGAAGAAUCAAAAACAAGUGGGACACAAUCACUUAUAAUAAUUAUUAUUAUUAUAAGUGGAACGACAUUUAUUGGAUAUUUCAAACUUUUUUAACAAAUCAAAAACUGAAAAAUUGGGCGUGCAAAAUUAUUCAGCUGUCCGUUAGCCCCGAGUCUCAGUUUCACUGUCGGUUCCACUCAGUCACAGCUUAGGUUUGUGUUUUGUAGUUUUGGCCCCGUUCACACUCAGGUUCUGCCAACUGAUCUACAACACAUUGGACACAAUGGUUGUGAUCUGAUUUGUUUUUUUGUGAUGCAAUGAAGAGUGUGUUGCAGAUCCAUUGAGCGGUGUCUCCACACGCUUGUGUAGUUUAUUUCUGUGCAGAAAAACUCUGAUACAACUGGCAUCCCAACCGUUGUGCCAAAUGUGUUGUACGUCAGUUGUAUACGGCGCCACUGUCACGACUUCCGCCGAAGUCGGUCUCUCCUAGUUCGGGCGGCGUUCGACGUCACCGGCCUUCUAGCCAUCGCCGAUCCACCUUUUUUGAUUUUCCAUUUGUUUUGUCUUGUCUUCCCUCACACCUGGUUUCAAUUCCAUCAAUUACAUGUUGUGUAUUUAACCCUCUGUCCCCCCCACCCCAUGUCCUUGUCCGGUAUUGUUGAAUGUAAGAGUUUGUGCACGUUAUGUCUGGUGUGCGAAGGGUUUCGUCCCCGUUGUAUUUAUUUAUUGUUUUUGUUCACUGUGAUUUGUAUAAUUAAACUACUCCAUUGGAACACA